GUGGGGAAUAUUGGGCAAUGGGCGGAAGCCUGACCCAGCGACGCCGCGUGAGUGAAGAAGUAUUUCGGUACGUAAAGCUCUAUCAGCAAGGAAGAAAAUGACGGUACUUGACUAAGAAGCCCCGGCUAACUACGUGACAGCAGCCGCGGUAAUACGUAGGGGGCAAGCGUUAUCCGGAUUUACUGGGUGUAAAGGGAGCGUAGACGGUAUGGUAAGUCAGAUGUGAAAGCCCGGGGCUCAACCCCGGGACUGCAUUUGAAACUAUCAGACUAGAGUGCAGGAGAGGUAAGUGGAAUUCCUAGUGUAGCGGUGGAAUGCGUAGAUAUUAGGAGGAACACCAGUGGCGAAGGCGGCUUACUGGACUGUAACUGACGUUGAGGCUCGAAAGCGUGGGGAGCAAACAGGAUUAGAAACCCCAGUAGUCC
rnacentral:rRNA from 1 species